GACGAACGCUGGCGGCGUGCUUAACACAUGCAAGUGGAGCGACGAACCAGGGCUUGCCCUGGGGCAGAGCCGCGAACGGGUGAGUAACACGUGGGUAACCUACCCCGAUGACCGGGACAACCCGAGGAAACUCGGGCUAAUACCGGAUGUUCUCCAUUCUCGUAAGGGAACCGAGCAAAGAUAGCUUCGGCCUUCGCAUCGGGACGGGCCCGCGGCCCAUUAGCUUGUUGGUGGGGUAACGGCCUACCAAGGCGACGAUGGGUAGCUGGUCUGAGAGGACGAUCAGCCACACUGGGACUGAGACACGGCCCAGACUCCUACGGGAGGCAGCAGUGGGGAAUCUUGCGCAAUGCGCGAAAGCGUGACGCAGCAACGCCGCGUGGGGGAAGAAGGCCUUCGGGUUGUAAACCCCUUUCAGGAGGGACGAAGGUGCGGCGGCGAAUAGCCGUCCGUACUGACGGUACCUCCACAAGAAGCCCCGGCUAACUACGUGCCAGCAGCCGCAGUAAAAC
rnacentral:rRNA from 1 species